rnacentral:lncRNA from 1 species
AAAGAUCAUCUCUACAAAAAAAUCACUUGAAUCCGAUAUCAUUUGAACAUUCAAUUGAGUAAUAGAAAUUUAUAUUGACUUAUGGUUCAAUUGAAGCACCGUGUUCGUUGAUUUUGUAGGAUACAAUUGGAUGUCGAAAUGGUUUCCGAUUUGUCUACCUUUUUGCAAGGAUGAUCUAUGAAUAUUGACUUAAAAAAUAGAUGGUUU